CGCGUCGGUCCGGGUGGGUCUAAGGCUGAUUGAUCCGCCGUGCGCACGCCAGCGCGUUCCUCUGUGGCAGGAGAGGGGGCCUGCGUGUGACGGAGCGUGCGUGGGAGGACGCGCGUGUGUGUGCGUCCUGAUCACGGUGGUCUGUGGGUGGGGCGGAUCGUGCGCGCGCGCCCGACCUGUGCCCCCCCAAGCCAGAUGUGAACAGGGCACUGCUGCUGACCCCCUGGUGACAGCUAGCCAGUGGUUGAGAGACCGCAAGAUGAUUCCUCGUCUUUCACUUCCCUCCGUCCCAGUCCAGUAAGGAUCAUGCUGUCUAUUCUGCGAGGACAUGUUGAAUGCAGGGACAGCCAUUUGGAAGACUGUCCUCGAGGGUGGCAGCAGCCUCUCAGGACAGGGAAAGCCAAGGUGACCACUAAGCCCGUCUGGGGUGGAGGGUGGCAGGCGGGGGUGGAGAGGAUUCGAGGCCACCUGAAGGAACCUGUGCUCGGAGACACUUACUCAUUGUGCGGGUCUGACACCUCCCAGCUCAUCCUGUCCCCAUCUUCCCCUUGCGUCACGUCCCCACCCAGCAGGAGGAGAUCUGAGGCUUUGCGCGACGCUGGCCCCGCGAAGUGUGGGGGGCUUUUCCUCUCAACCACUAGUGCCCCACAAGCGUGGGUGAACAGUCCUCCCUGGCUACUGUGAGACGCUGGGCAGGCCACUUCGCUUCUCUGGGCCUCGGUUUUCCUGCUUGUCAAAUGGGGCUGAUGCCGGCGUGGGCUUCUUCGGGCGGUCGCGAGGGUUGACCCCUGGAGUCAGCAGGCCAGCCGCAAACACGCUCCCAGGCUGAGG